rnacentral:lncRNA from 10 species
UUUACUGGAAUGAGGAUGCUAUUUUUAAGAAAGAGCAUUGUGUUUCAUCAUGGAAAUUUUGAGCAUCUGAGCAGGCAGCCUGCUGGCUCGCUCAUCUUUAAGGUCCUGAUGGACAGAGGCUGUGUUUUCUUAGCUCUGUACCCCAGCACCCACCAGGACCUGCUCUGUGGGAACAAGGGAAGAAGGAAGGUCUGUGGUGGACGAGUAAUAUGUGCUGCGAGUGGCUGAGAUGCUGCGGUGGAGGGGAGGCCAGGCCCCGCACUGUCUGGCUGGGGCACCCCGAGAAGAGAGACCAGAGGUAUCCUCGGAAUGUCAUCAACAAUCAGAAGUACAAUUUCUUCACCUUUCUUCCUGGGGUGCUGUUCAACCAGUUCAAAUACUUUUUCAACCUCUAUUUCUUACUUCUUGCCUGCUCUCAGUUUGUUCCCGAAAUGAGACUUGGUGCACUCUAUACCUACUGGGUUCCCCUG